UACAGAGGGUGCAAGCGUUGUUCGGAAUUAUUGGGCGUAGAGCGCGUGUAGGCGGCAGUGCAAGUCGGGUGUGAAAGCCCUCAGCUCAACUGAGGAAGUGCGCCCGAAACUGCAUUGCUUGAGUACCGGAGAGGAUGGCGGAAUUCCCGAAGUAGAGGUGAAAUUCGUAGAUAUCGGGAGGAACACCGGUGGCGAAGGCGGCCAUCUGGACGGAUACUGACGCUGAGACGCGAAAGCGUGGGUAGCAAACAGG
rnacentral:rRNA from 1 species